rnacentral:rRNA from 1 species
GACUGUACAAAGGUAGCAUAAUCAUUUGUCUUUUAAUUGGAGGCUGGUAUGAAUGGUUGGAUGAGAAGCAUACUUUCUUUAUUUUAUAUAAAAAAGUUAAUUUUUUAGUUAAAAAGCUAAGAUAUUUUUAUAGGACGAGAAGACCCUAUAGAACUUUAUUUUUAAAAUUUAUGGAUUUUUUAGUUUAUAAUAAAAUUAUAUAUUUAUAUUAAUUUUGUUGGGGUGAUGGAAAAAAUUAUAUAACUUUUUCUAUUUUAUACAUUUAUUUAUGUGUUUUUGAUCCUUUAUUAUGGAUAAUAAGAUUAAGUUACCUUAGGGAUAACAGCGUUAUUUUUUUGGAGAGUUCUUAUCGAUAAAAAAGUUUGCGACCUCGAUGUUGGAUUAAAAUAAGUAAUAGGGGUAGAAUAUUAUUUACUGGGUCUGUUCGACCUUUAAAUUUUUACA